GACGAACGCUGGCGGCGUGCUUAACACAUGCAAGUCGAACGGAAAGGCCCUGCUUUUGUGGGGUGCUCGAGUGGUGAACGGGUGAGUAACACGUGAGUAACCUGCCCUUGACUUUGGGAUAACUUCAGGAAACUGGGGCUAAUACCGGAUAGGAGCUCCUGCUGCAUGGUGGGGGUUGGAAAGUUUCGGCGGUUGGGGAUGGACUCGCGGCUUAUCAGCUUGUUGGUGGGGUAGUGGCUUACCAAGGCUUUGACGGGUAGCCGGCCUGAGAGGGUGACCGGCCACAUUGGGACUGAGAUACGGCCCAGACUCCUACGGGAGGCAGCAGUGGGGAAUAGUGCACAAUGGGCGGAAGCCUGAUGCAGCAACGCCGCGUGCGGGAUGACGGCCUUCGGGUUGUAAACCGCUUUCGCCUGUGACGAAGCGUGAGUGACGGUAAUGGGUAAAGAAGCACCGGCUAACUACGUG
rnacentral:rRNA from 1 species